AGUUUGAUCCUGGCUCAGAUUGAACGCUGGCGGCAGGCUUAACACAUGCAAGUCGAGCGGGGAAAGGUAGCUUGCUACCUUACCUAGCGGCGGACGGGUGAGUAAUGCUUAGGAAUCUGCCUAUUAGUGGGGGACAACAUUUCGAAAGGAAUGCUAAUACCGCAUACGCCCUACGGGGGAAAGCAGGGGACCUUCGGGCCUUGCGCUAAUAGAUGAGCCUAAGUCGGAUUAGCUAGUUGGUGGGGUAAAGGCCUACCAAGGCGACGAUCUGUAGCGGGUCUGAGAGGAUGAUCCGCCACACUGGGACUGAGACACGGCCCAGACUCCUACGGGAGGCAGCAGUGGGGAAUAUUGGACAAUGGGGGGAACCCUGAUCCAGCCAUGCCGCGUGUGUGAAGAAGGCCUUUUGGUUGUAAAGCACUUUAAGCGAGGAGGAGGCUACUUAGAUUAAUACUCUAGGAUAGUGGACGUUACUCGCAGAAUAAGCACCGGCUAACUCUGUGCCAGCAGCCGCGGUAAUACAGAGGGUGCAAGCGUUAAUCGGAUUUACUGGGCGUAAAGCGUGCGUAGGUGGCCAAUUAAGUCAAAUGUGAAAUCCCCGAGCUUAACUUGGGAAUUGCAUUCGAUACUGGUUGGCUAGAGUAUGGGAGAGGAUGGUAGAAUUCCAGGUGUAGCGGUGAAAUGCGUAGAGAUCUGGAGGAAUACCGAUGGCGAAGGCAGCCAUCUGGCCUAAUACUGACACUGAGGUACGAAAGCAUGGGGAGCAAACAGGAUUAGAUACCCUGGUAGUCCAUGCCGUAAACGAUGUCUACUAGCCGUUGGGGUCUUUGAGACUUUAGUGGCGCA
rnacentral:rRNA from 1 species